GUGAGGGAAAGGUGAAAAGCACCCCGGAAGGGGAGUGAAAUAGAACCUGAAACCGUGUGCUUACAAGUAGUCAGAGCCCGUUAAUGGGUGAUGGCGUGCCUUUUGUAGAAUGAACCGGCGAGUUACGAUUUGAUGCAAGGUUAAGCAGUAAAUGUGGAGCCGUAGCGAAAGCGAGUCUGAAUAGGGCGUUUAGUAUUUGGUCGUAGACCCGAAACCAGGUGAUCUACCCUUGGUCAGGUUGAAGUUCAGGUAACACUGAAUGGAGGACCGAACCGACUUACGUUGAAAAGUGAGCGGAUGAACUGAGGGUAGCGGAGAAAUUCCAAUCGAACCUGGAGAUAGCUGGUUCUCUCCGAAAUAGCUUUAGGGCUAGCCUCAAGUGAUGAUUAUUGGAGGUAGAGCACUGUUUGGACGAGGGGCCCCUCUCGGGUUACCGAAUUCAGACAAACUCCGAAUGCCAAUUAAUUUAACUUGGGAGUCAGAACAUGGGUGAUAAGGUCCGUGUUCGAAAGGGAAACAGCCCAGACCACCAGCUAAGGUCCCAAAAUAUAUGUUAAGUGGAAAAGGAUGUGGCGUUGCCCAGACAACUAGGAUGUUGGCUUAGAAGCAGCCAUCAUUUAAAGAGUGCGUAAUAGCUCACUAGUCGAGUGACACUGCGCCGAAAAUGUACCGGGGCUAAACAUAUUACCGAAGCUGUGGAUUGUCCUUUGGACAAUGGUAGGAGAGCGUUCUAAGGGCGUUGAAGCAUGAUCGUAAGGACAUGUGGAGCGCUUAGAAGUGAGAAUGCCGGUGUGAGUAGCGAAAGACGGGUGAGAAUCCCGUCCACCGAUUGACUAAGGUUUCCAGAGGAAGGCUCGUCCGCUCUGGGUUAGUCGGGUCCUAAGCUGAGGCCGACAGGCGUAGGCGAUGGAUAACAGGUUGAUAUUCCUGUACCACCUAUAAUCGUUUUAAUCGAUGGGGGGACGCAGUAGGAUAGGCGAAGCGUGCGAUUGGAUUGCACGUCUAAGCAGUAAGGCUGAGUAUUAGGCAAAUCCGGUACUCGUUAAGGCUGAGCUGUGAUGGGGAGAAGACAUUGUGUCUUCGAGUCGUUGAUUUCACACUGCCGAGAAAAGCCUCUAGAUAGAAAAUAGGUGCCCGUACCGCAAACCGACACAGGUAGUCAAGAUGAGAAUUCUAAGGUGAGCGAGCGAACUCUCGUUAAGGAACUCGGCAAAAUGACCCCGUAACUUCGGGAGAAGGGGUGCUCUUUAGGGUUAACGCCCAGAAGAGCCGCAGUGAAUAGGCCCAAGCGACUGUUUAUCAAAAACACAGGUCUCUGCUAAACCGUAAGGUGAUGUAUAGGGGCUGACGCCUGCCCGGUGCUGGAAGGUUAAGAGGAGUGGUUAGCUUCUGCGAAGCUACGAAUCGAAGCCCCAGUAAACGGCGGCCGUAACUAUAACGGUCCUAAGGUAGCGAAAUUCCUUGUCGGGUAAGUUCCGACCCGCACGAAAGGCGUAACGAUUUGGGCACUGUCUCAACGAGAGACUCGGUGAAAUCAUAGUACCUGUGAAGAUGCAGGUUACCCGCGACAGGACGGAAAGACCCCGUGGAGCUUUACUGUAGCCUGAUAUUGAAAUUCGGCACAGCUUGUACAGGAUAGGUAGGAGCCUUUGAAACGUGAGCGCUAGCUUACGUGGAGGCGCUGGUGGGAUACUACCCUAGCUGUGUUGGCUUUCUAACCCGCACCACUUAUCGUGGUGGGAGACAGUGUCAGGCGGGCAGUUUGACUGGGGCGGUCGCCUCCUAAAAGGUAACGGAGGCGCUCAAAGGUUCCCUCAGAAUGGUUGGAAAUCAUUCAUAGAGUGUAAAGGCAUAAGGGAGCUUGACUGCGAGACCUACAAGUCGAGCAGGGUCGAAAGACGGACUUAGUGAUCCGGUGGUUCCGCAUGGAAGGGCCAUCGCUCAACGGAUAAAAGCUACCCCGGGGAUAACAGGCUUAUCUCCCCCAAGAGUUCACAUCGACGGGGAGGUUUGGCACCUCGAUGUCGGCUCAUCGCAUCCUGGGGCUGUAGUCGGUCCCAAGGGUUGGGCUGUUCGCCCAUUAAAGCGGUACGCGAGCUGGGUUCAGAACGUCGUGAGACAGUUCGGUCCCUAUCCGUCGUGGGCGUAGGAAAUUUGAGAGGAGCUGUCCUUAGUACGAGAGGACCGGGAUGGACAUACCUCUGGUGUACCAGUUGUCGUGCCAACGGCAUAGCUGGGUAGCUAUGUGUGGACGGGAUAAGUGCUGAAAGCAUCUAAGCAUGAAGCCCCCCUCAAGAUGAGAUUUCCCAACUUCGGUUAUAAGAUCCCUCAAAGAUGAUGAGGUUAAUAGGUUCGAGGUGGAAGCAUGGUGACAUGUGGAGCUGACGAAUACUAAUCGAUCGAAGACUUAAUC
rnacentral:rRNA from 1 species